GGCCUACUCUUUCAGGGAUUCGAUUUUCUAAGGAUUGUCUACGGCGGGGAAAGUGACCUGGAGUCCAUGAAAGCAGAAAUAUCUGCCUAAAGAUACUGUGACUGCUUGGACACCUGUCACAUCCAACUGCACUGCCAGGAAAGCUUGCUGAUGGAGGGAGAACAGAGCUUUGGCAGCAUCACAGCAAGGUGUUCAAGGGUAAUGUUAGCAUCAGUUUUCUAUUCUUUUGUUCCUCAUUGCUAAGUGCUCUUUCCUCUCCAAGAAUCAGCUAUUCUCUUUUCCAAAAUGUAUUCCUGUCCAGUGUUUUACAUUGUACCAAAUCCAUUCUGUAUAUAAUUCAAAUCUCUGUCUUGGGAUAAUGACAGUUGUUCUCUAUUGAUAGUAAAAUAAUUGCUUGGGGAAAAUGCUCAGAGAAGGAUUACGCUCUAAAAAAUAGCUUUUUGUCUUCUAUUCAGUUUAAUCCUUCAGAAUCACUUAUGUACUGUGCUGAUUCAUCAUUUUUUGCUCCCCACAGAGCUUUCUAUGACUGUGCAGCAGGGGUGCAUUCAAGUGCAGCUUGCAAAAAAACAUAAACUACACAUAGUUUUAUGCACUACGUGGAGUGGGGG